GUGCAGGUGUGUGGAUGGGUAGGGGAGCGUCGUAUGGCGGGUGAAGCGGCGGAGUGAUCCAGUCGUGGACGCCAUACGAGUGAGAAUGCAGGCAUGAGUAGCGAAUGAAGGGUGAGAACCCCUUCCGCCGGAUGACCAAGGGUUCCAGGGCCAGGCUAAUCCGCCCUGGGUGAGUCGGGGCCUAAGGCGAGGCCGAGAGGCGUAGUCGAUGGAUAACGGGUUGAUAUUCCCGUACCCGCAAAAGAGCGCCCAAGACGAACCCAUCUGUACUAACUACUUGAUCAAUUCAAUGGCUUCGGCCGGCGAUGCGGGAGACUAGGACCUUGGGUGGUAGUAGUUUAGCGAUGGGGUGACGCAGGAAGGUAGAUGAUCCCGGCCGGUGGUUGUGCCGGGGUAAGCGUGUAGGCCGUCACGUAGGCAAAUCCGCGUGGCAUUAAGGUUGAGACGUGAUGCCGAGCCGUUUCUGGUGAAGUCAUUGAUCCUAUGCUGCCGAGAAAAGCCUCUAGCGAUGUUCUGAGCGGCCCGUACCCUAAACCGACACAGGUGGUCAGGUAGAGAAUACCGAGGCGACGGGUGAACUGUGGUUAAGGAACUCGGCAAAUUGCCCCCGUAACUUAGGGAGAAGGGGGGCCGGACGCGUGAAGCCCCUUGCGGGUGGAGCGUGGUAUGGCCGCAGAGAGCAGGGGGAAGCGACUGUUUACUAAAAACACAGGUCCAUGCCAAGUCGUAAGACGAUGUAUAUGGACUGACGCCUGCCCGGUGCUGGAACGUUAAGGGGACCUGUUAGCUCUUCGGGGCGAAGCGGAGAACUUAAGCGCCAGUAAACGGCGGUGGUAACUAUAACCAUCCUAAGGUAGCGAAAUUCCUUGUCGGGUAAGUUCCGACCUGCACGAAUGGCGUAACGACUUCCCCACUGUCUCAACCACAGGCCCGGCGAAAUUGCAGUACGAGUAAAGAUGCUCGUUACGCGCGGCAGGACGGAAAGACCCCGGGACCUUUACUAUAGCUUGACAUUGGUAUCUGAAUUAGCUUGUGUAGGAUAGGUGGGAGCCUGUGAAGCUUGGACGCCAGUUCGGGUGGAGGCAAUGUUGAAAUACCACUCUGGUUGGUUUGGGUAUCUAACUUGCGGCCCUGAUCGGGUCGAGGGACAGUGUCUGGUGGGUAGUUUAACUGGGGCGGUUGCCUCCUAAAGGGUAACGGAGGCGCCCAAAGGUUCCCUCAGCCUGGUUGGCAAUCAGGUGUUGAGUGUAAGUGCACAAGGGAGCUUGACUGUGAGACUGACGGGUCGAGCAGGGACGAAAGUCGGGACUAGUGAUCCGGCACUUGCGUGUGGAAGCGGUGUCGCUCAACGGAUAAAAGGUACCCCGGGGAUAACAGGCUGAUCUUCCCCAAGAGUCCAUAUCGACGGGAUGGUUUGGCACCUCGAUGUCGGCUCGUCGCAUCCUGGGGCUGUAGCAGGUCCCAAGGGUUGGGCUGUUCGCCCAUUAAAGCGGUACGCGAGCUGGGUUUAGAACGUCGUGAGACAGUUCGGUCCCUAUCCGCCGUGCGCGUUGGAUACUUGAGAAGGGCUGUCCCUAGUACGAGAGGACCGGGACGGACGAACCUCUGGUGUGCCAGUUGUUCCGCCAGGAGCAUGGCUGGUUGGCUACGUUCGGAAGGGAUAACCGCUGAAAGCAUCUAAGCGGGAAGCCUGCUUCGAGAUGAGGUAUCCCACCACCUUUGAGUGGGUAAGGCUCCCAGGAGACUACUGGGUUGAUAGGCCGGAGAUGUAAGCACGGUAACGUGUUGAGUUGACCGGUACUAAUAGGCCGAGGGCUUAACCAC
rnacentral:rRNA from 1 species